rnacentral:rRNA from 1 species
UACGUAGGGGGCAAGCGUUGUCCGGAUUUAUUGGGCGUAAAGAGCGUGUAGGCGGCCAUACAGGUCCGUUGUGAAAACUGGAGGCUUAACCUCCAGACGUCGAUGGAAACCGUAUGGCUAGAGUCCGGAAGAGGAGAGUGGAAUUCCUGGUGUAGCGGUGAAAUGCGCAGAUAUCAGGAGGAACACCGGUGGCGAAGGCGGGUCUCUGGGCCGUAACUGACGCUGAGGAGCGAAAGCGUGGGGAGCGAACAGG